rnacentral:rRNA from 1 species
UGGGGAAUAUUGCACAAUGGGCGCAAGCCUGAUGCAGCCAUGCCGCGUGUGUGAAUAAGGCCUUCGGGUUGUAAAGCACUUUCAGCGGGGAGGAAGGAGUUAAGGUUAAUAACCUUGGCGAUCGACGUUACCCGCAGAAGAAGCACCGGCUAACUCCGUGCUAGCAGCCGCGGUAAUACGGAGGGUGCAAGCGUUAAUCGGAAUUACUGGGCGAAAAGCGCACGCAGGCGGUCUGUCAAGUCGGAUGUGAAAUCCCCGGGCUCAACCUUGGAACUGCAUCCGAAACUGGCAGGCUAGAGUCUUGUAGAGGGGGGUAGAAUUCCAGGUGUAGCGGUGAAAUGCGUAGAGGUCUGGAGGAAUACCGGUGGCGAAGGCGGCCCCCUGGACAAAGACUGACGCUCAGGUGCGAAAGCGUGGGGAGCAAACAGG